rnacentral:rRNA from 1 species
CCAGACUGUUGCCUCGGCGGGAUCUCUGCCCCGGGUGCGUCGCAGCCCCGGACCAAGGCGCCCGCCGGAGGACCAACCAAAACUCUUUUUGUAUACCCCCUCGCGGGUUUUUUUAUAAUCUGAGCCUUCUCGGCGCCUCUCGUAGGCGUUUCGAAAAUGAAUCAAAACUUUCAACAACGGAUCUCUUGGUUCUGGCAUCGAUGAAGAACGCAGCGAAAUGCGAUAAGUAAUGUGAAUUGCAGAAUUCAGUGAAUCAUCGAAUCUUUGAACGCACAUUGCGCCCGCCAGUAUUCUGGCGGGCAUGCCUGUCCGAGCGUCAUUUCAACCCUCGAACCCCUCCGGGGGGUCGGCGUUGGGGAUCGGCCCUGCCUCUUGGCGGUGGCCGUCUCCGAAAUACAGUGGCGGUCUCGCCGCAGCCUCUCCUGCGCAGUAGUUUGCACACUCGCAUCGGGAGCGCGGCGCGUCCACAGCCGUUAAACACCCAACUUCUGAAAUGUUGACCUCGGAUCAGGUAGGAAUACCCGCUGAACUUAAGCAUAUCAAUAAGCCGGAGGAA